rnacentral:lncRNA from 1 species
CCUCAGACUUGUUCAAAUCAAAUGCAUAUCCCACUGGCAGUGAUUUGAUAGACUGAAGGGAUGGCGCACCCUUAACUCUCUGUGCCAUUUUUUUCCUUCAAAGUAAAGCUCUAACAACACAAUCAAGAUUCUAAUAAUUGAAUCAAAAAGGUAACUUUUUUUCUCUUUCUUCUAGAGGUCCCAGUCAGUGACCUUACUUAUCUGCCAAACCUAAUGGAGGGGACAGCAGCAAACAACAAAUAGUGGCUCCUCACCCAUCAAUCACACCACACUCACCAAUAUCAACAUCAUUUCCAAUUCUUAUACCAUUCUAUAAAUUUAAUUUUGGCCCCCCAAAGUUUCAGGAAUUUAUCCUCAAAAAUUCGAUUUUUGCACAGCAAAAUCCUCAAAAUAUUCAAUUUUGAGACAGCAUACUCCUCAAAAAGCUCAAACAACACAAUCAAGAUUCUAAUAAUUGAAUCAAAAAGGUAACUUUUUUUCUCUUUCUUCUAGAGGUCCCAGUCAGUGACCUUACUUAUCUGCCAAACCUAAUGGAGGGGACAGCAGCAAACAACAAAUAGUGGCUCCUCACCCAUCAAUCACACCACACUCACCAAUAUCAACAUCAUUUCCAAUUCUUAUACCAUUUUAUAAA